AUUGAACGCUGGCGGCAUGCCUUACACAUGCAAGUCGAACGGUAACAGGUCUUCGGAUGCUGACGAGUGGCGAACGGGUGAGUAAUACAUCGGAACGUGCCUAGUAGUGGGGGAUAACUACUCGAAAGAGUGGCUAAUACCGCAUGAGAUCUACGGAUGAAAGCAGGGGAUCGCAAGACCUUGUGCUACUAGAGCGGCCGAUGGCAGAUUAGGUAGCUGGUGGGAUAAAAGCUUACCAAGCCGACGAUCUGUAGCUGGUCUGAGAGGACGAUCAGCCACACUGGGACUGAGACACGGCCCAGACUCCUACGGGAGGCAGCAGUGGGGAAUUUUGGACAAUGGGCGCAAGCCUGAUCCAGCAAUGCCGCGUGCAGGAUGAAGGCCUUCGGGUUGCAAACUGCUUUUGUACGGAACGAAAAGCCCCGGGUUAAUACCCUGGGGUCAUGACGGUACCGUAAGAAUAAGCACCGGCUAACUACGUGCCAGCCGCCGCGGUAACAC
rnacentral:rRNA from 1 species